GUUGUUUUCUCGAAAAUCAAUUAAAAAAGACUGGAUUUUGUGUUGUAUUGACUUUAUCAGCUUUCUGCACUCUUUUCUUGUCUUUUUUAAUGCACUUUUCGUUUAACAAGUCAACAUCAAUUUCUUUUGUUGUAAAAGGGUCAUUGGAAGGUGGCUUUCUUUUCGGAGAAAGUGUUUAUAGCCUUUGGCCUCUGCAAUCGGAGAGAUUGAGGUCUGCAGCGUAGAUCCUUCGGGGUUAGAUACAUUUGUGCUAAGUUAUAGCCUUUCAUAGACAACUUGUUGACUAUGAUCAGUCAUGUAGCUUACUCGCUUAUGCUAUUUUACCUAC
rnacentral:rRNA from 1 species